UACGGGGGGGGCAAGCGUUGUUCGGAAUUACUGGGCGUAAAGGGCGCGUAGGCGGCCUGCUAAGUCGGAUGUGAAAUCCCUCGGCUCAACCGAGGAACUGCAUCCGAUACUGGCGGGCUUGAAUCCGGGAGAGGGAUGUGGAAUUCCAGGUGUAGCGGUGAAAUGCGUAGAGAUCGGGAGGAACACCGGCGGCGAAGGCGGCGUCCUGGACCUGGCCUGACGCUCAGGAGCGAAAGCGUGGGGAGCGAUCCGG
rnacentral:rRNA from 1 species